GGUCCAGACUCCUACGGGAGGCAGCAGUGGGGGAUAUUGGACAAUGGGGGAAACCCUGAUCCAGCGACGCCGCGUGAGUGAAGAAGUAUUUCGGUAUGUAAAGCUCUGUCAGCAGGGAAGAAAGAAAUGACGGUACCUGACUAAGAAGCCCCGGCUAACUACGUGCCAGCAGCCGCGGUAAUACGUAGGGGGCAAGCGUUGUCCGGAUUUACUGGGUGUAAAGGGAGCGUAGACGGCGAUGCAAGUCUGAAGUGAAAGGCGGGGGCCCAACCCCCGGACUGCUUUGGAAACUGUAUGGCUGGAGUACAGGAGAGGUAAGUGGAAUUCCUAGUGUAGCGGUGAAAUGCAUAGAUAUCACGAAGAACUCCGAUUGCGAAGGCAGCAUACCGGCUCCAUACUGACGCUGAGGCACGAAAGCGUGGGGAUCGAACAGGAUUAGAUACCCUAGUA
rnacentral:rRNA from 1 species